rnacentral:rRNA from 1 species
GACGUAGGGCGCGAGCGUUGUCCGGAUUUAUUGGGCGUAAAGAGCUCGUAGGCGGCUUGUUGCGUCGACUGUGAAAACCCGCGGCUUAACCGCGGGCUUGCAGUUGAUACGGGCAGGCUAGAGUUCGGUAGGGGAGACUGGAAUUCCUGGUGUAGCGGUGAAAUGCGCAGAUAUCAGGAGGAACACCGGUGGCGAAGGCGGGUCUCUGGGCCGAUACUGACGCUGAGGAGCGAAAGCUAGGGGAGCAAACGGG